GUACACGCUGUGACUAGCAUAUCAAUAAGCGGAGGAAAAGAAACUAACAAGGAUUCCCCUAGUAACGGCGAGUGAAGCGGGAAGAGCUCAAAUUUGAAAUCUUAAAGGGUUUCCCUUUACGAAUUGUAGUUUAAAGAAGUGUUUUCUGUUGAGGUUUUGGUAAAAGUUCUUUGGAAUAGGACAUCAUAGAGGGUGAGAAUCCCGUAUUUGACCUUUACUUUCAACUUUGUGAUACACUUUCAAAGAGUCGGAUUGUUUGGGAAUGCAGUCCAAAAUGGGUGGUAAAUUUCAUCUAAAGCUAAAUAUUGGCGAGAGACCGAUAGCGAACAAGUACCGUGAGGGAAAGAUGAAAAGAACUUUGAAAAGAGAGUUAAACAGUACGUGAAAUUGUCAAAAGGGAAGCGUUUGACACCAGUGUUGUUUUUCUGAAAAUCAAUUAAAGAACUGUUUAUGCUAAGCUGUUUAGACUUUAUCAGCUAACUGUUUAGUUUUGAGCUUUUCUUUAAUGCACUUUUCAGUUAACAAGUCAACAUCAAUUUCUUUUGCUGUAAAAAAGCUUGAGGAAGGUGGCUUGAGAUUCCGUCUUAAGUGUUUAUAGCCUCUUGCCUAUGCAGUCGGAGAGAUUGAGGUCUGCAGCGUAGAUCCUUCGGGGCUAAAUGCAUUUGUGCUAAGUUAUAGCAUUUUAUAGACAACUUGUUGACUAUGAUUUGUCUUGUAGCUUACUCGCUUAUGUUAUUUUACCUACGCUUAGGAUGUUGAGUCGUAGAGCACGCAG
rnacentral:rRNA from 1 species